rnacentral:tRNA from 1 species
UAGACUAGAGCUCGCUGGACUGAGCGUUUAGCUGUUAACUAAAAGGUCGUAGGGUAAAAGCCUACUGGUCUAG